GCGCUAGUGGUUUAGUGGUAAAAUCUAUGGUUCCCACUCAUAGGCCCCGUGUUCGAUUCACGGCUAGCGCA